GAGUUUGAUCAUGGCUCAGAUUGAACGCUGGCGGCAGGCCUAACACAUGCAAGUCGAGCGGCAGCACGGGUACUUGUACCUGGUGGCGAGCGGCGGACGGGUGAGUAAUGCCUAGGAAUCUGCCUGGUAGUGGGGGAUAACGCUCGGAAACGGACGCUAAUACCGCAUACGUCCUACGGGAGAAAGCAGGGGACCUUCGGGCCUUGCGCUAUCAGAUGAGCCUAGGUCGGAUUAGCUAGUUGGUGAGGUAAUGGCUCACCAAGGCGACGAUCCGUAACUGGUCUGAGAGGAUGAUCAGUCACACUGGAACUGAGACACGGUCCAGACUCCUACGGGAGGCAGCAGUGGGGAAUAUUGGACAAUGGGCGAAAGCCUGAUCCAGCCAUGCCGCGUGUGUGAAGAAGGUCUUCGGAUUGUAAAGCACUUUAAGUUGGGAGGAAGGGCGGAAAAUUAAUACUUUGCUGUUUUGACGUUACCGACAGAAUAAGCACCGGCUAACUCUGUGCCAGCAGCCGCGGUAAUACAGAGGGUGCAAGCGUUAAUCGGAAUUACUGGGCGUAAAGCGCGCGUAGGUGGUUUGUUAAGUUGGAUGUGAAAUCCCCGGGCUCAACCUGGGAACUGCAUUCAAAACUGACAAGCUAGAGUAUGGUAGAGGGUGGUGGAAUUUCCUGUGUAGCGGUGAAAUGCGUAGAUAUAGGAAGGAACACCAGUGGCGAAGGCGACCACCUGGACUGAUACUGACACUGAGGUGCGAAAGCGUG
rnacentral:rRNA from 1 species